UAUAGCUCAGCAGUACAGUGCCUGCCUGGCAAGCAGGAGAUCAUGAGUUUGAUUCCCAGUA
rnacentral:tRNA from 1 species